CUGACCUCUCCCCUGAAGGAGCAGGAGCAGCACUCGAGGCCGCCCUGGGAGAGCUGAGAGGCAGGCUCUGGACUGGGGACACAGGGAUAGCUGAGCCCCAGCUGGGGGUGGAAGCUGAGCCAGGGACAGUCACGGAGGAACAAGAUCAAGAUGCGCUGUAACUGAGAAGCCCCCAAGGCGGAGGCUGAGAAUCAGAGACAUUUCAGCAGACAUCUACAAAUCUGAAAGACAAAACAUGGUUCAAGCAUCCAGGCACAGGCGCAAAGAUCCAGGAAAUACUGCAGAGGAAGAUGGUGCGAGAGUUCCUGGCCGAGUUCAUGAGCACAUAUGUCAUGAUGGUGAGUGGGUGGGCAGCACGAAGUGGGUGGGG
rnacentral:lncRNA from 1 species